rnacentral:rRNA from 1 species
AUGAACGCUGGCGGCGUGCUUAACACAUGCAAGUCGAACGGAAAGGCUCCUGCUUGCAGGGGUACUCGAGUGGCGAACGGGUGAGUAACACGUGGGUGAUCUGCCCUGCACUUCGGGAUAAGCCUGGGAAACUGGGUCUAAUACCGGAUAGGACCACAUUUUGGAUGGUGUGGUGGAAAGUUUUUCGGUGUGGGAUGAGCUCGCGGCCUAUCAGCUUGUUGGUGGGGUAAUGGCCUACCAAGGCGUCGACGGGUAGCCGGCCUGAGAGGGUGUACGGACAGACUGGGAUUGAGAGAGGGGCCAGACUCCGACGUGAGGCAGCAGUGGGGAAAAUUGGACAAUGGGAGAAAGCGUGAUGCAGCGACGCCGCGGGGGUGAUGAGGGCCUUUGUGGGGUAAGCAAAGCACGAGAGGGACGAAGCGUUGUUGUGACGGUACCUGGAGAAGAAGCACCGGCUAACUACGUG